rnacentral:rRNA from 1 species
ACGUACACUCCUGCGGGAGGCAGCAGUGGGGAAUUUUGGACAAUGGGCGAAAGCCUGAUCCAGCCAUGCCGCGUGCAGGAUGAAGGCCUUCGGGUUGUAAACUGCUUUUGUACGGAACGAAACGGCCUUUUCUAAUAAAGAGGGCUAAUGACGGUACCGUAAGAAUAAGCACCGGCUAACUACGUGCCAGCAGCCGCGGUAAAACGUAGGGUGCAAGCGUUAAUCGGAAUUACUGGGCGUAAAGCGUGCGCAGGCGGUUAUGUAAGACAGUUGUGAAAUCCCCGGGCUCAACCUGGGAACUGCAUCUGUGACUGCAUAGCUAGAGUACGGUAGAGGGGGAUGGAAUUCCGCGUGUAGCAGUGAAAUGCGUAGAUAUGCGGAGGAACACCGAUGGCGAAGGCAAUCCCCUGGACCUGUACUGACGCUCAUGCACGAAAGCGUGGGGAGCAAACAGGAUUAGAAACCCCGGUAGUCCC